AGUUCCUCGAUUCCCUGUCAUUCUCUAGUCCCGUCGUGUGUAGAGUUUACUGGACGGAGAACUGAUAGGGGCCUGUGGAGCA
rnacentral:pre_miRNA from 1 species